AUUGAACGCUGGCGGCAGGCUUAACACAUGCAAGUCGAGCGCCCCGCAAGGGGAGCGGCAGACGGGUGAGUAACGCGUGGGAAUCUACCCAUCUCUACGGAAUAACGCAUGGAAACGUGUGCUAAUACCGUAUACGUCCUUCGGGAGAAAGAUUUAUCGGAGAUGGAUGAGCCCGCGUUGGAUUAGCUAGUUGGUGGGGUAAAGGCCUACCAAGGCGACGAUCCAUAGCUGGUCUGAGAGGAUGAUCAGCCACACUGGGACUGAGACACGGCCCAGACUCCUACGGGAGGCAGCAGUGGGGAAUAUUGGACAAUGGGCGCAAGCCUGAUCCAGCCAUGCCGCGUGAGUGAUGAAGGCCCUAGGGUUGUAAAGCUCUUUCACCGGUGAAGAUAAUGACGGUAACCGGAGAAGAAGCCCCGGCUAACUUCGUGCCAGCAGCCGCGGUAACAC
rnacentral:rRNA from 1 species